UACGUAGGGGGCAAGCGUUGUCCGGAUUUAUUGGGCGUAAAGAGCGUGUAGGCGGCCAGGUAGGUCUGCUGUGAAAACUCGAGGCUUAACCUCGAGAUGUCGGCGGAAACCAUCUGGCUAGAGUCCGGAAGAGGAGAAUGGAAUUCCCGGUGUAGCGGUGGAAUGCGUAGAGAUCGGGAAGAACAUCAGUGGCGAAAGCGGCCGUCUGGACGGAGACUGACACUGAGAUGCGAAAGCGUGGGGAGCAAACAGG
rnacentral:rRNA from 1 species